GCAGUCUGGUGCCAGCAGCCGUAGAGAAAACGAAACAGCUGCGCCCCCCUUUUUUCCCCGGCGGAGCAGCAACCAUUAGCAAAAGCAACAUGAAGUGACGGAGAAAGUGGCCACUGAGCAAGUAGUGGCAGAGCCCGUAAUUGAGCCGCCUAGAUUUGGAGCAGCCUAUUUAAAUAACCCUGCACCUGCUUAUCCCAUUCAAGCAAGACGCAUGGGUGAGCAAGGUAAAGUGCUGCUUAAAGUGUUAGUGUCUCAAGACGGCAAGGCUGAAACAGUUAAAGUGGAUACAAGUAGCGGCCAUCAUAAAUUGGAUCAGGCAGCGAUUGAAGCUGUUAAAAAAUGGAGCUUUGUACCGGCAAAGCGUAGUUAACCAGCCAAUUAGUGCUUAUGUAUUGGUACCUGUAAAUUUCCACAUUGAAUGGAUAAAUAGUAAAUCUAAUGAAUAUGCAGUUAAUGCAUGGACUAGUCGAUAAAUUAAGAGUGAACAGAUUAAGAAUCAAGCGAGGGUAAUGAUGCAAAACGGGUAUGAGUUUAAUAGUUGGGAAUUUAUCACGGCGGGUGGGCCAGUUUUCUAUGUUGGUUGCCUUGAUCUUAUUAGCAAUGUCGGUGGCGAGUUGGUAUUUAAUCGUGACAAGAAGCGUUAGUGCAUGGCGUAUGCGGUCGUGGCUUAUCAGAUAUUUUUACAGGCAUUUUGGCAAGCGCCAAGUGUGGGCCGUGGCAAUUAAGCAAAGGCCAGACUUAUGCUAAUACAGGGCUGGCUAGAUUGGCAGAAAAAGCGAUACUGGCGGCUGAAGCACCACAAGAUGUGUGCAAUAAAAGGGAUCUGAGAUUGUUGCACAAGAUGAGUUUGUAGCACGUGCCAUGAACCGUAGCAUUGCAGAAGAAAACGCAAAUAUGGAAGGCGGCUUAACUGUAUUGGCUUCUGUGGGUAGCGUAUCGCCAUUUGUAGGUUUGUUUGGCACGGUGUGGGGGAUUUAUCAUGCACUUGCCAGCAUCAGCUUAAGUGGUCAGGCGACUCUAGAUAAAGUAGCUGGGCCAGUAGGUGAAGCUUUGAUUAUG
rnacentral:rRNA from 1 species